AUUAGGGUUCGAUUCCGGAGAGGGAGCCUGAGAAACGGCUACCACAUCUAAGGAAGGCAGCAGGCGCGCAAAUUACCCAAUCCUAAUACAGGGAGGUAGUGACAAGAAAUAACAAUACAGGACCUUUAAUGGUUUUGCAAUUGGAAUGAGUUAAGUAUAAACCCCUUUACAAGUAUCAAUUGGAGGGCAAGUCUGGUGCCAGCAGCCGCGGUAAUUCCAGCUCCAAUAGCGUAUAUUAAAGUUGUUGCAGUUAAAAAGCUCGUAGUUGGAUUUCUGUUAAUUACUUUAUAUAAUUUUACACUUUCGUGUAGUUAUAUAGUAUUAACAUAAUUCAUAUUACUAUUUUAGUAUAUGAAAUUUUACUUUGAGAAAAUUAGAGUGCUUAAAGCAGGCUUUUGCCUUGAAUACUUCAGCAUGGAAUAAUAAUUAAAGAUUUUUAUCUUUCUUAUUGGUUCUAAGAUAAAAAUAAUGAUUAAUA
rnacentral:rRNA from 1 species